rnacentral:rRNA from 1 species
AUCUUGGUUCAGGAUGAACGCUGGCGGCGUGCAUAACACAUUCAAGUCGAACGAAGCAUUUACGAUGAGGCCUUCGGGCGGAAUUGUAUAUGACUUAGUGGCGGACGGGUGAGUAACGCGUGAGCAACCUUCCUGCCUGUGAGGGAUAACACAGGGAAACUUGUGCUAAUACCGCAUGACGCAUGAUCAUCGCAUGGUGGAUAUGCCAAAGAUUUAUUGCAGGCAGAUGGGCUCGCGUCUGAUUAGAUAGUUGGUGGGGCAACGGCCUACCAAGUCGACGAUCAGUAGCCGGACUGAGAGGUUGAACGGCCACAUUGGAACUGAGAUACGGUCCAGACUCCUACGGGAGGCAGCAGUGGGGAAUAUUGGGCAAUGGGCGAAAGCCCUGACCCAGCGACGCCGCGUGAGGGAAGAAGGUCUUCGGAUUGUAAACCUCUUUCAGCAAGGAAGAAGAAAGUGACGGUACUUGCAGAAGAAGCCACGGCUAACUACGUGCCAGCCGCGGC